CGCCCACAAGAACCGGGAGCAGCACAUGGGACAACUCGGGGACAUCAAAGACCCCUUGGGGACAAUUCAGUCUCUUAUGAGACGCUGGGGGAGUCUAGGGACAUCUUGGGGGGUCCCUGGGGACGUUCUGGGUCCCCUUGGGGACAUUUUGGGGACCCCUCGAAGAUGUUUCAGAGGAUGUACAGGGCUCUCCCAGGCCGUGGCGCCCACAACAACCAGGAACAGCGCAUGGGACAGCUUGGGGACAUCAAAGACCCCUUGGGAACAAUUCAGGGUCUUAUGGAACACUAGGGGAGCCUGGGGACAUCUUGAGGGGUCCCUGGGGACGUUCUGGGUCCCCUUGGGGACAUUUUGGGGGCUCCUUGGAGACAUUUCGGGGACGUACGGGGCUUUCCUGGGCCUUGGCGCCCGCAACGACCAGGAGCAGCACAUGGGACAACUUGGGGACAUCGAAGACCCUUUGGGGACAAUUCAGGUUCUUAUGGGACACCAGAGGAGUCUAAAGACAUCUCAGGGGGUUCCUGGGGACAUUUUGGGGUCACAGGGAGGCUCCCUGCAUCUCUGCACCCACCCUUGUCCCCAGCACCAUGUCCUGGGGGCACCCAAGGCCACAGAGCUAUGUGAGAGAGAACCGGGGGACAUUUGGGGGUAUCUUGGGGAUCCCAGGGACAUCUCAGGGUGCUGGGUGACAUCUUGGGCCCUCACAGGGACAUUUUGGGGCCUCACGGGGACAUUUUGGGGACGCAAGARAAGAUCCCCGCGCCCCUGCACCCACCACCACGUCCCGAGUGCACCCGGAGCCGCAGAGGAGCACGGGGGGGGAUUUGGGGACGUUUGGGGGUACCUUGGGGACACUUGGGGACCCCAGGGACAUCUUAGGGUCCUGGGGGACAUCUUGGGCCCUCACGGGGACAUUUUGGGGACGCAAGAGAAGAUCCUCGCGUCUCUGCACCCACAACCGCAUCCUGAGCGGACCCAGAGCCGCGGAGAAGCACGGGGGGGGGGAUUUGGGGACACUCGGGGACAUUUUUGGGGGGGACGGGACGGGGACAGGCGGCGAAGGGGCUCACCUGGGGGGGGAACUGCUCGUCGGUGAGGGUGAGGAUGUAGCUGAUGGUGGCGGCCUCGUAGUCGAGGCAGAGGCGGGCGAGGAGCAGCAGCAGGGCGGGCGGCGCCGCCGGGGCCCCCCGCUCGGCCGGGCCCUCGCAGAAGC
rnacentral:lncRNA from 1 species